rnacentral:ncRNA from 2 species
CAUCCCGAGGAGCGCUGCGAGGAUCGGUUCAAGAUUGAGCCGCAUCCCCAGGCUCGGGAGGCGUGGAGACGAAAGUCUGCGACAAAACGGCGCUCACCUGAC